rnacentral:rRNA from 1 species
UACGAAGGGGGCUAGCGUUGUUCGGAUUUACUGGGCGUAAAGGGCGCGUAGGCGGCCAUUCAAGUCGGGGGUGAAAGCCUGUGGCUCAACCACAGAAUUGCCUUCGAUACUGUUUGGCUUGAGUUUGGUAGAGGUUGGUGGAACUGCGAGUGUAGAGGUGAAAUUCGUAGAUAUUCGCAAGAACAACAGUGGCGAAGGCGGCCAACUGGACCAACACUGACGCUGAGGCGCGAAAGCGUGGGGAGCAAACAGG